CGCCUCUUGACAAACUAUAAGAGGUCCAGCCUGCCCAGUGAUAUUAUUCAACGGCCGCGGUAUCCUAACCGCGCGAAGGUAGCAUAAUCACUUGUUCUUUAAAUAGGGACUAGUAUCAAUGGCACCACGAGGGUUGCACUGUCUCCUCUCUCCAAUCAGUGAAACUGAUCUCCCCGUGAAGAAGCGGGGAUAAACCAAUAAGACGAGAAGACCCCAUGGAGCUUAAAAUCUAAUAGCAACUUUGCCACAUAAUCCACCAUAUUUUACAGAGCCAUGCUAGCAAAUUUUAGGUUGGGGCGACCGCGGAGUAAAAAUCACCCUCCAUGACGAAAAGAACUAAACCUUUAUCUAAGAACUACUAUUCUAAGAAUUAGCAUACUAACGACCAUGACCCGAUAAUCGAUCAACGGACCAAGUUACCCUGGGGAUAACAGCGCAAUCUACUUUGAGAGUCCAUAUCGACAAGUAGGCUUACGACCUCGAUGUUGGAUCAAGGUAUCCUAGUGGUGCAGCCGCUACUAAUGGUUCGUUUGUUCAACGAUUAAAACCUU
rnacentral:rRNA from 1 species